rnacentral:lncRNA from 1 species
CUUGCUCAACUCACUGGAAAAGGAAAAGAACAAGAUUAUAUGAAUUGCUAUAGCGAUGAAACUUCAAGCAAUACAUGCACUACAAAAUCUUCAAGCAAGAUUGGUUCAUAUUCGAAAGACUAUGCACAUUCAGGCUGACAUAGCUACGUAUCUUCAUGGUAAAAUAUUUCUAGUUUGUUAAUAUUACAAUUUGCUAUCAACGUUCUAGAGCAAACUAUUAAUUCCUACCAAUACUCUUUUUCAGAAUGUAUAAAUAUCUCUGUAGUUGAAAUGUAUCAUCUUUGUUGUAUUUAACAUUAAAUUUCAUCUCGAAGUUAAGAUGCUUCCUCUGCUUCACAGUGCAAUAGACGCUACACACUGCUCAACAAGAUUUAACAAGUAAAAAUAAUUUCAAGAAAACAAAGAGAAGUAGCAAAAAUAGAAAAGCAACUGAAGGAGAGAAUAACUUACCUCUAUCACAGUACCAUUUGAUUUAACCAUUAUAUGCAUUCCUCGUUGAUUCUUAUGGUGGAAAUUUGAGCUCUUUGUGACCAGCAUUCCCUCUUCUUAGCCAGGAUUCCCCCUUCUUAAAUUCUAGACGUGGUUAUAGGCAACGAACUGGAAGGGACUUGAGAUUUGGACAAUUAUCGAUGAGCUGGAGGGAGGAGGGAAGCUAUAAACUGAAAUCAUUUUCAAAAUAGAGCAAAGAGAUUAGUCAAUCAUACCAUGUACUCUUAUCAAAUCCCUGACAAAGUAGAAAAAAUAUAAUAUUAUCCUUAAUUUGCUAAAACUCCAUUCUAGAGAUGAUAAUUCUAAUAACAUAGGUACAAAACUAAGAAUCCUAUAUAAGAUGAUCAUAACAUACAUACAAACUAAAAACCGCUGUCCUAUAGGAGUAAAACUAUCAUUUCAUGCUCAUCAAGUUCCUGAUGACAAGUUUAUCAUCCAUCCCAGGUUUAGGCUAGAAGGAAAGGAAGAAAUACAAACAAAAGAAAUUAUCAUCACAUGAAUGCUGAAAGGGCACACACUUUAGCUAUCACUUGGCCAAAUUUACACUUACAUUUAUGAAAUAAGCAAUCUAACUAUGAAAAUAUCUUAAGCCUAAUGACUGCCAACUCAUAACAACAGAAGUUCAUUUUUUUUAAAAUUUUUGGAUGGUUGUCCGUGAUUAUACACACACACAUACAUUGGAAUAUAGUUUCUAUAUGGGGCUUUAGCAUAGAUCUCUACAUUUAAUGACGAGCAAAACAUCACACAGUAGGAUGAAUCAUUCUUCUUAAUCAAGAGCAGAGAGCUACAUCAUUCAGACAUACCAUCAAAUUUGUUUCUUUCUAGUUUUUACUGGAAAUGAAACUUCGCACGGUAGGAUGAAUCAUUCUUCUUAAUUAAGACAAGAUCACGUUGAUCAUGGUUUGGUGUAACUAGAAAAUAGUACAAAUACUUACUUAUUUGGACAAAAUAUCAUUUCUGAAGUUGUCAAACAUUGCAUUUGUGAUCUGUUAUGAUAUUUUGGAAAGAAAACCUGAAAGUCAAGUGAAAUUUUUUAAGCUAAGUAGUUUGUUCGAACAAAUAAAAGUUAACAGAGCCAAGCCUCAAACUACUACCAAUCUAUGCUGAAUAAUCCACUGUAAAAGAAGACAGAGCAAAACAAGUUAUAUAAAUUGUGUAAUAUGUAAAGCUUAGUCAACCAUUUAAUUUGGACAAAAUAUCAGUUUCAAUAGUUAAUAGCAGUGGAUAUUUAAUUGAUAUAGAGAAUGACUACGCCUUUUCAUUGAUGCUUGAAAUUCGGCAUAGGAAAAACUCCGGUAUAGAAAAUUACAUAAUAUUUCCUUCUGACUGAUGAAAGAGAAGUAAUGCUGGCAAAAUUCCACACAAAAGAGAGGUAUGUUUCCUCACUUACACUCUUCUGACAGACCACUGUUGAGGUGAUUGCCUAUUCAUAAAGAAUGUCAGCACAACAUUGUUUUCAUCAACUGAGCAAAAAGGCUGGCAAUUGACGCUUUGCGCUGCUCU